CCCAAACAAAGACUAAAAGCAAGCGCACCUUAAUCCAUGAAAAACACAAAACUGGGAAUAUCUACUCGCAGAAGGGAGAACAAGAACUGAGAGCUCCAUUGGUGAGGGAAGGGUAGACCAUAGUGGUGGCUGAUAAGUUCGACCCACCGUCCGAUUGGCAAGCGAGGCCGGUAAAUAUGCUGCUCCAUUCGCUUCCCCAGAAAACUUCAUCGAAAAAGGUACCGCCUCUUUCUUCUGAUAUCUUUGAGGAUUCCUAGGAGUAAACAUCAGUUUUUGCAUGUAAUUACACCUAUUUUAGAGAAGCAGACUCAAUUCUGUUCUGAAUUUAUGUUUAUUUUAAAAGGAAAAGUAUCUGUUGUCUGAUUGUUUCCGACAGUUAAAACCCCUAAACUUGAACAGUUGACAAGAGAUUAGUUGUGGACUUGUGGCAUUGGUAAUGUGAGUUAUCUACAUCUGUAGUGUAAUCUUGCUAAGCAAGCGGAGUGUUAAGCUGUUAAUAGUCUUGCACUCUUGCUGAAAAGUCAAGCAUUGUGUCUGAUCAGAAAUAGAAAAUCUUGUUACUAACCUUGUACUGAUGAUAAGAUAUCUGAAAACAAUCACCUUACAAAACAGAGAAAUUACCUGCUCACGCUACACAAUAUUUCAUAAAUGUUAAAAACUUACAACGAUUACAUUACAAUAACAACUACAACAUUGAUUACCCAAAAUAAAUAACUACACCAUAGUUUGAGUAAUAAAGUACAGAGAAAAAAAUGCCACGAGAGUUUCUAGCCUAGAGCUUCAUGCUUGGUUAACCUUACCAUUUCAUCGUCUUCGGUACCUUCCAUUUAUGUAAACAAGCCUUUGAAUAUUACCAAAUCUUUGUGCCAGCUGAGGGAAUAUCUUGAACAGGAUGUUACACAUAGCUCUGUAAUACCAUUCCCUCCAUCUUUUGCAAAACAAAAGCGAUCCGAUGACAAUACCAAAUCCACAUGUAAAUCCAAUUUCAACACUGAUAAUAUCCCAGUCAAUGUCAUCUCCAGGUUUCUGAUUACUUGAGCUUCCAGCUAAUGUAGGCGGUGGCGAUACGGCUGGUAUAUCUUCUGUCAGAGGAGGCCCCCAUAAUCCUUUGUUACCCUGGAAGGAGGUGUUUGGAAAUGUCGAAAACUGAGUGCUUGUUGGGAUCCUUCCUGUCAGUUGAUUAUUUGAGACAUUCAAAUACGAAAGAAAAGUGAGAUUCGCAAGCUGCUGUGGAAUUUGGCCGCUCAGGUGGUUCUGUGAGAGGUCUAAGGACUCGAGGGUUCUUAUGUUACCAAAGGAUGAUGGGAUUUCGCCUGUGAAAGCAUUACUGGACAGAUUGAGGACAUACAGUGAUCUGAGUUGGCCUAUUUCCUUAGGUAUUGUUCCAUUGAACUUGUUAGCAGAGAAGUCAAUCGAAGUGAAGAUUGUUAAAAUCUUUAUUAUAUCCAUCUCCUGACCUUUGCUUGUAGUUGUUACUGCAUCAACAUAAUCAAUAAAGAGCCCACUUCGACUACCUCCAUUGAACGAAUAUCCAAGGUCAAUUUGGGUGUCAUCUUCAUUGACCAUCAUUGCCUGCCAUGUUGCCAAUGACGAACCUGGUAUUUCACCAUUGAAACUGUUAUGAGCCAAGUCUAUGAUUUGAAGCUUCGGCCAGGUGCCAUUUGUCUCGGGACAUCCAAUGGUUCCAUAAAAUUUGUUGGAUCGCAACAGAAGGACAUGCAAGGUGGAUAAGGUCUUCAAUGGGCAGGGAAAGGUGUCUGUUAUUUGAUUGAGUCCAAGGUCUAAAACCUCUAGGUUUGAACAAUUGGCUAGAGAUUUUGGAAACUGACCUAUUAUCUGAUUUCUGCUUAUAGCUAGAGUUUUCAAAUUACAUCCCUCACUAAAUGUAUCGGGGAUAGAUCCAAUAAGAUUGUUUCUCCUCAUAUCAAGGACAGAAAGUGAAGAUAUCUGAGUCAAGCAUUGGGGAAUGAUUCCACUCAAAGAGUUAUUAGAGAGAUCAAGAACUAGACCACUUGCAUUGCAUAUUGAGUUUGGAAUUUCUCCAUACAAGUUAUUGCUUGAAAGGGAAAGGUAGGCCGUGGAAGAAAUGAAAUCACCAAUGUCAGUUGGUAUACUAGAGCUGAAGUUAUUUCUUGAGUAAUCCAAAUAAUUACCACUUACAAACAAUGGGAUCUGUCCCUGAAGCUGGUUUGAGUGAAGAUCAAUAUUCAACACAUUGUAAGUAGAACUAAGUAAAGGAGCUUCUAGACUUACCAACUUGUUACAACAGAGAUUUAGAGUAUUGAGAGGAAGCCCCCAAAUCCAAUUGGGUAUUUGACCUGAAAUCUGGUUGUCUGAGAGGUCCAAGUAGGCUAAACUAGAUUGAUCUUUCAAGAAUUUUGGGAAUGUUUUCAACUUGUUAGAAGCCAAUAUCAAGUUGUUAAUCUGAAGGAGGGAGGGGUGCGAUGACUUGGUACCGUUAUCAUUGAACAACAGGCUAUUGUGGGAUAGAUCAAGAAACGAAAGAUUUCUCGACUCUUGAAGGCCAUAAAAAGGAAAACCACUCAAGUUGUUUGAAGAAAGACGAAACUCCUGAAGCCCUGGAAGAUUAAAGAUGGAUACAGGUAUUGAUCCUUCCAAAUUGUUGCUACUCAAAUCAAGUUCGUACAACAAGUACGAAGAGACAUUAGAAAAUUCAAGCAACUGACCAGAGAAGUUAUUUCCAGAAAGUACUAACCUCUGCAGCAAAGGAAUGAAAAAGGGAGACACUGGAAUACUCCCAUAGAGUAGAUUGUUGGCUAAGUCGAGAAGCUCAAGCUUGAUGAGUUUGUCCCAUUGGAUAGAAUUAAUCGGACUAGAAAACUUGUUGGAUGACAAGGCCAAAAACCCCAAUUGUGUUAGGUUUUCCAGUGACUUUGGAACUACCCCUGUGAAAUUGCAAUCUGAAAGAUCUAAUUUGGACAGCUUUUCAAGGUUGCCCAUAGAGUCCGGCAAGACUCCUGAAAAUUUAGUCCCACUUAGGACUAGGGAUUCGAGAGAUCCGUUCUUUGGAAACUCUGGUAAGGAACCCUGGAGCUCUGAAUUAGUUGACAGGUCAACCGACUGUAGUGUAGGUAUCUGGAGUAACUCUUUGGGAAAUGCUCCAUGCAAGUUACAGUUAGAGAGACUCAAGGAAACCAAACUAGAAAAAUUUGCAAAGAAUUUUGGAACUGGAGCAGAGAUGUAGUUUUUAUCCAAUAUUAACAUGGAUAGAGAAUGAAGCCUGGCAAAUGAUUCAUGAAUAGGGCCUGAAAGAUCACAAUAGGACAAGGUCAACACACUCAGCUUUGGAAGCGAAGAUGAUAUGGUUUGGCUCCAUAGAGAUCCUUCAGCUGAUAGGUUUAGAUAAUCAAGAUGUAACUCUGUAAGCUCUGUAAGGUUCUGGAUUAGCAAGCCUAAAUUCGGGUUCUCAAGUUUUAACUCCCCAUUCAGGUAAUUACUAGAGAGAUCAAGAACCGUCAACCUUGUCAAGUGUGCAACCUCAAUGGGAAUCUGCCCAGAAUAGAAGGCAUAUGUUAAAUUUAGAUACCUUAAACUUGCAAGCUUCCCAAUUGCAGAAGGUAUUGAAGAGCCAUUGAAGUCGUUAUAGGCUAAAUUGAGGCUCUGAAGAUGUUCAAGUUGGAACAGACUGCUGGAAUCGUCAAUGUUGCAUGAGAUAGACUCGCUGCUGAUGUCAAGUCCAACAACACUCCCAUUAGUGCUGCAAGUUACACCGAGCCAUGAACAGCACUCGGUGCUGGAAUUCCAAGUUAUGAGCUUGGAGGAAGAAGAAGAAUCAAAUACAAGACUUUUCUUGAAACUAAGCAAUGAUUGUUUCUGGGCUUCAAUACACUUGCUGUGUACAGCAGGGAUGAGGUUAGUAACACAGGGAGUGAUCAAGAAAAGGAGCAAAUGGAAGAACAAAGUUGUCAUUCUUCCAGCAAACUUACAGAUGCACAAAUGCACUGUGGCAAAGUUAUAAUAAUCUUUGCUUGGCUUGACUUUCAAGUCUCCUCCUCCUUAUGCAUAGGUAACUUCCAGGAAAAAUAAGACGUAUCUUUCAAAUCUUGUCCUCUCCAUUCAAUUAUUACAUAAAUUAAUAAUAGAAGUUGGGGGAAGACUUGGUUGUGAGUUGUGACUUGUGAGUUGUGACUGCUCAGUCUCAUCUCUAUUCAAAUUUUCACACCUAUUUAAUCUCUGGGGGUUCCCAACAGUAUCGAUCCAAAUACUUUGACUAGUUCUAUGUAUCUCAUAGGACAUUCGAUCAACUAGCUGAUCCCCGGAAUGGACCAUUUGACCAAUUCUCAAACUUGCUGAAAUUAAAUUUGAUGAUGAAAAUUGAUGCUGGUGAAAUUUAUGAGUACAUUUUCACUGCUAAACCGCACAAUAAUGGUUAAAACAAAAAUAUUUCAUCGCAAUCAUCAUAUUACAAAAACCACUAGAACAAUGACCUGCUAACGCUACACAAUAUUACAUAAAUGUAUUACCCAAAUUGAAAAGAAAUAAAGAACAAUCACACCAUAAUUGAAAUAAAAUGGGAUAUACAGAGAAACCACACCAGGGUGAGCCUUUGGCAAAGUGGAAUGAGCAGCAUGCUCAAUCUUCAUAGACAUUUCAGUGCCUCCACCUUGUGUUUAUGUAAACAUGUCUUCUAUGAUUACCAAAUCUUUGUUCAAGCUGAGGAAAUAUCUUCAAAAGAAUGUUGCACAUUACUUUGUAAUACCGUUCCCUCCAUCUUUUGCAAAACAAAAGUGAUCCAAUGGCCAUUCCAAAUCCACAUGUAAAUCCAAUUUCAACACUGAUAAUAUCCCAAUCAAUCUCAUCUCCAGAAUUCGGGUUAUUUGAACUUCCAUUUGACGUAGGUGGUGGCAAUGAAGCUAGUGUAUCCGAUGUCAGAGGAGGCCCCCAUAACCCUUGGUUGCCUUCAAAGGAAGUAUUUGGAAAUGUUGAAAACUGAGUGCUAGUUGGUAUUUUGCCCACCAGUUGAUUAUUUGAGACAUUCAAAAACGAAAGGAAAUUGAGAUUUGCAAACUGUUGGGGAAUGUGGCCGCUUAGACGGUUCUGUGAGAGGUCUAAGGACUCUAUGGUUCUCAUGUCUCCAAAAGAUGAUGGGAUUUCACCUGUGAAAGCAUUACCAGAUAAGUUGAGGACAUACAAUGCUUUCAUCUCUCCAAUUUCCUUAGGUAUCGAUCCGCUAAAGUUGUUGGAGGAGAAGUCAAUCAAGGUGAAGAUAGUUAGAAUCUUUACUAGAUUCAACUGCAAACCUUUGAUGAUGGUUGUUAUUGUAUCUCUGUAAUAAACUUCAAGCCCGAUAGUCUCAGUUGUGUACAGAGGUGCGUAUGAAAAUCCAAGGUUCGCUAGGAAUUCAUCUUCGCUGACCUUCAUUUUCUGCCAUGUUGCAAAAGAAGUUCCUGGUAUUUCACCAUUCAAAUGGUUGUGUGCAAGAUCUAUAAUUUGCAGCAUAGGCCAUGUGUUGUUGGUCUUGGGACAUCCAAAGCUACCAUAAAAUUUGUUGGAUCGCAAAACAAGGAUACGCAAUGUGGACAUGGUCAUCAACAAACAUGGAAAUGUAUCUGUAAUCUGAUUGUUUCCGAGACUUAAAAUCUCUAAACUUGAGCAGUUGACAAGAGAUUUUGGAAACUGACCUUGUAUCUGAUUUCCGCUGAGAUCAAGAGUUCGUAGCUUACAAUGCUCAAGAAAAUUAUCAGGAAUAGUGCCAGUAAGGUUGUUUGUCCUUAAGUCAAGGACUGCAAGUGAAAGUUGAGUCAAGCAUUGUGGAAUGAUGCCACUCAAAGCAUUAUAGGACAGAUCAAGAACCAUACCAGUUGUAAUGCAGAUUGAGCUUGGAAUGGUUCCAUGCAAGUUAUUGCUUGAUAGAGAGAAGAAAUUUGUUUGAGAGAUGAAACUACCAAUAUCAAUCGGUAUACUAGAGCUAAAAUUAUUUCUCGAGUAAUCCAAAAAAUGGGCAGAUGGCAGGAACAAUGGGAUUUUUCCCUGGAACUGGUUUGAGUGAAGAUCAAGAGAAGUGACGCCAGAAUCAGGUAAAGGAGCUUCUAGAGUUUCCAAAGAGUUACGAGAAAGAUUCAGUUCUUUAAGAGAAUUGAGCCUCCAAAUCCAAUUGGGUAUCUGGCCUUGAAUUUGGUUGUUUGAAAGAUCCAAGUAACUUAAUGUGGACAGAUUUCUCAAGAAGUCUGGGAGUGUUCUCAACUUGUUAGAACUAAGGUCAAGAUUUGCUAACAUACAAGUAGAAUUAGGAAGAAGAGGUUCUAGAGUUACAAUGGAGUUAGAAGAAAGAUUUAGGAGUAAAAGGGAAUUGAGCCUCCAAAUCCAAUCAGGUAUUUGGCCUGGAAUCUGGUUUCUUGAAAGGUCCAGUCGCCAAAGUGUGGAUUGAUUCUUCAAGAAAUCUGGGAAUCCUCUCAACUUGUUUGAAGCCAAUAACAAUACUUCAAUCUGAAGGAAGGAGGUACUUGUACCAUUGUAAUCAAACAACAAGUUAUUGUGGGAAAGGUCAAGAAAUGAAAGAGUUCUGGGCUGCUGAGGACCAGUAAAAGGGAAGCCACUGAGGUUGUUUGAAGAAAUAUCAAGAUACAUAAGCCCUUGAAGAUUAAAGAUAGAUGUUGGUAUUUCUCCUUCCAAAUUGUUGUUUCCCAAAAGAAGGUUGCGAAGUGACUGCGAUGGUGUAUUGGAAAAUUCAGGGACUUGACCAGAGAAAUGAUUAUUGGAAAGCGCUAAUGCAACCAGCAAGGGAGGAGAAACAAUAGAUGAUGGAAUGCUCCCAUAGAAAAGAUUGUUGCUCAAGUCAAGGCUUUCCAGAUGAACAAGGGCUUCCCAGUGAAUAGAACUGAUAGGACUAUUGAACUUGUUCCAUGAAAUGUCCAUGUCUACCAAUUGUGUGAGGUUUUCAAUUGACUUGGGGAGGGAUCCAGUGAACUUGCAAUGUGAAAGAGAUAUGGUUGAGAGUUCUGUCCUAUUCUUUGGAAACUCUGGAAAGGAACCACCAAGUUCUAGAUUACUAGAAAGAUCAAUGGAUUGAAGGGAAUGAAUAAGGAAGAUCUCUUUCGGAAAUGUUCCCAACAAGUUACAACGAGAAAGGCUCAAGGAAGUCAAGUUUGAAAGAUUGGCAAAGGAUCUCGGAACUGGAGAAUUGAAGUAGUUGCUAUCUAAGUGAAUCACAGAUAGAGAUUGGAUAGUAGCAAGGGACUCACAUAAAGGGCCUGAAAGACCACAACUGUACAAGCUCAACACCAUCAGAUUUGGCAGUGAAGAUGAUAUGGCUUCGCACCAGUCACUCUGCUGUGUAGAUAUCUCUACUGCAUCAAGAUAUAACUCCUCAAGCUCUGUGAGAUUCUGAAUUAGCAUGCCUAAACUUCGAUUCUCACAUUUCAACGAUACCCCAUCGUAAUUGUUUCUAGAGAGAUCAAGAGUAACCAACCUUGUCAAGCGUGCAACCUCCACGGGAAUCUGCCCAGUAAAAUAGCCACUGGCUAAUUUUAGAUGCCUCAGAUUAGUAAGCUUUCCAAUUGCAGAUGGAAUUUUAGAGCCACUGAAGACGUUAUUGGCCAAAUUGAGGCUCUCAAGAUAUUGAAGUUGGAAGAUACUGCUGGAACUGUCGAUGUUGCAUGAAACAAACUCGUUGCUGAGGUCAAGUCCGAUAACAUAUCCAUUAGUGCUGCAAGUUACACCAAGCCAAGAACAGCAAUCAAUAUUUGAGUCCCAUGUAAUAAGCCUGGGGGAAGGAGGCUCAAUUACAUAUACAAGGCUUUUCUUAUAAUGGAGUAGUGAUAGUUGCUGAUCUUCAAUACAGUUGCUUUCAACAGCAGUAAUGAGGGUGGUAAUACUAGUAAUGGUUAGGAAUAGGAAUAAAUGGAGGAACAGAGUUCUCAUUCUUGAUAAAGCUUAAUUUUCGGAAUGAUUAGUCGUUGUGAGUUCUCAUGGAGGAACAGAGUUCUCAUGCAACGAGGGAAAUUGGUAAGAUUGGUGUUAAAUGGUCGUUGUGAGACUGAUUAGUCGUUUCUCUGGAGUGUUUGUCUAAUUAUUACUUGAGAAUCAACGAGUCAAAGCAUCUAUAAGGGAACUGGUGACGUUUGUUAAUUAUCAGCUUGAAUAAAGUAUAAUUAGAGUUCUACUAUGAAGGCCUGCAAAAUUGAGGUGCUAUUCUCUUUGGAAUUGGUAGCGGUUGAAGACUUUGAGGUCUGCAUGAGAUUUGAUGUUGGCUUGGAUUAGAUAUAUUUUCCAUCUUCUUCAUACAAGAAAGUAAGUAAACAAACAGACAAUGAAAGAUAAAAUACAAAAGAAGCAAAACAUGCAAACAAGUAGCUUGAGUUCCAAAUUAAACCAAAAACAAGCAAAGACCUAACAAAAGGAAGAUACAAAAAUAAGCGAACGUAGUUCAAUUUGUAUGUUUGUUUGUGUACGAAAUCAUCAUCUACAAUUUACAAAUGGAUGAAUAAUAAAUGGUAAAAUAAUGGAAAUUCCAUGAGAUGAACAGAACCAAUAUUAUAAGAAAUGCAAAAGGACUUUUUCUGUACAUGACUGAUAAUUUCAUUGCAGUGCUGAAGCUUUGACUGAGUAGAGUAGUAUUGUAAAAACAACAGCAUCAAGUUGUUUCUCCCUUACAAACACUCCUUGCAGAUUCGAACUUGACGCCUCGGAGAUGACAUUAAAGUUUGAAGCUUUGAGGCAAAAGUUCCAUGGCUGAUAAUAAUUAAGUGGACAAUGGAGCAAAGAACAAUCAAACAUUGUUACAGAACGAGUACUUUUUCUGUUUUUGACCUUUACUAUGAUGAUACCAAUACUAUGUAUAGCAUACCAAGUUACCAACACUAUUCCAAUCGGAAUAAGAUGGAUAUAAAUCGGUUAAUCUUAUGAAAUGAACUGCAAUAGCCUAUCCAUGAUAUAGGUAUACAGAAAUACAAUAUCUAGG
rnacentral:lncRNA from 1 species